AUUGAACGCUGGCGGCAGGCCUAACACAUGCCAGUCGAACGGUAACAGGAAGAAGCUUGCUUCUUUGCUGACGAGUGGCGGACGGGUGAGUAAUGUCUGGGAAACUGCCUGAUGGAGGGGGAUAACUACUGGAAACGGUAGCUAAUACCGCAUAACGUCGCAAGACCAAAAAGGGGGACCUUCGGGCCUCUUGCCAUCGGAUGUGCCCAGAUGGGAUUAGCUAGUAGGUGGGGUAACGGCUCACCUAGGCGACGAUCCCUAGCUGGUCUGAGAGGAUGACCAGCCACACUGGAACUGAGACACGGUCCAGACUCCUACGGGAGGCAGCAGUGGGGAAUAUUGGACAAUGGGCGCAAGCCUGAUGCAGCCAUGCCGCGUGUAUGAAGAAGGCCUUCGGGUUGUAAAGUACUUUCAGCGGGGAGGAAGGGAGUAAAGUUAAUACCUUUGCUCAUUGACGUUACCCGCAGAAGAAGCACCGGCUAACUCCGUG
rnacentral:rRNA from 1 species